GGCCUUCGUAAAGGAGGUCGAAAGGUAUCCCUAUGGGCAUAGCAGAUCAUGCAGAUGCUCACUAGAAAUUGUUCAGGGAGAUUCAUCACCUCCUCUUGUGAAUGUGAUUGGCAUGUAAUAGUUGUGGUAGAGUGGCUGUCUUUUCACGUCCAAUGUAGCAUACACUUUCAAAUCCCAUUGCAACACACAGAUUGACGUAGUUUUUUUGUUUUCUCUUCUAGUUAAUGAAUUGCUUAAGUGGAGUCAUUGGGCAAAUUUGGAGCAUCAAAUACUAUUGUUCUAGGUGUUGGUUUUGAAUACUUGAAUCUACAAUUGGAGUCAAAAGGGUUUCCAAUGGAUACAUUGUUGAUGGUCCAUAAUCCAUUCUGGUCUAGCAGUUUAAUUUUUUAAAAUUUCUUUUAAAAUCUUUUUCACCUAAUUUCCUUCAAUUUGAAGUCUUUUCUGUCAAUAAGUUCGAUUCUUUCACACACACACACACACAAAUAGAGUCUCUCUCUCUCUCUCUCUCUCUCUCUCUCUCUCUCUCAUUUUGGUAGUUCUCCCUUUUGGGAGAAUCGGUCAGAGAUUUUCCAAGUUUGAUUCCAUUUUUUGAUUUGAAUUUAAAAGAUAAGGUAGAAUUAUAGUGAUUUUUUUGUGAAUUACCAGAAAUAUAAUGAUUUAUUGAAUUUAAAAGAUUACUUGGAUCAUUUUUUUGAUUUGAAUUUAAAAUAUAGUGAUUUGAAUUAUUUGUUCUUGGUUACUGAAAAUACUUGGAGAUCACACAAUACAUGCCAAAUUGAUAAAUGUAGGAAAGACAUGUGCAUGUAGAUUAUGCACCCUCUUGUUAUGGUGUUAUGAUGUCUGAGUCCUAUUGUGAUUUGCAUUGGGAGAGAAAAGUAUAGGAGAUUUAUUCCAGAACCUGCUACCAUCUGACCCAAAUUUACUGAAUUCCUGGGCAUGCAUAAGCCAUAAACCUUUCGAAAAGAAAUUGAUCCGAAGAAACCAUUUUCUUAUGCAAAUUAAUUAAAUACCUUUUUGAAGAAUUUCUGGAUGCUAAGAUUGAAGAGGGUCAACUGAUUGCAGCAGCUGAUUAACAAGUAGCUUCCAAAAUGGGAAGAGUACUUGAAGCUGCUAAUGAUCAAUCUUGCAAGAAUUAAACAUGAAAAGAAGACAACAUGAACCAUAAGCUUGACGAUGCAACAACAUCACUACUGCAACGUAAACGAUAAGAUUGACAUUGAAAGGUGUGGCACAAAACCCAAGCCAAACAGUGAUUUGCUGUUCCCUACCAGUAUCACACUCAAUGAGACGAAGUACUCAUUAUGCUCUCAACUCAUGGAAAUGCAUAUUGCGGAAAUCCCAAUCUUGGAAAAUGGAAUAUCGAAAAUCACAAACUAUGAAAAGCUGCUUAUUGCCUCAAUGAGUUCGUCGUUGAUGUUGUAAUUUAUUCGUCUCCCCGCAACCAAUGAGAUAUGGGAGGUUGUGUCGAAAACCUUCUAUGAUGGAUCAGAUGAAACCAGUAUCUUUGAAUUGAACCAGAGAUCUUUUUCUACCACACAAAAUGGUCGAUCAAUAUCAACAUACUAUAAUGAACUUGUUGUUAUUUUUCAGGAAAUCGAUCACAAGACUAUCUCUCAGGAAGGAACAGUUGAAGGGGUGGUCCAGUUGCGUUCUACGAUGCCUAGGCUUCAGGUUCAUAUUUUUUCUGAGUGGACUUGACUCUGAAUUUGGUCAGGUCCGUGGAGAAAUCUUAUGAAAAGACCCAAAACUUGAUUUGAAGAGAGAAUAUCAACAAAGACAGACAAUAGGAGGCUUGUCCAAUCUCUGAGAGCUCGGCUAUACUGGCCAACCAAACUUGAGAAGGGCCAUCGUCUGGCUCGUCGAAGAAUUGAAAUAAUCAAUCAACUGGAAAGUUUGGCUGCCUGGAAGGGCAAACUCUACUACUUGGAGUUGACAUAAAAUUGGGGAUCGAAAUUUGGUCAAGCGAAUCUAACUAGUAUCGAAGACAAAGCUCGAGCAACUACAUGGCUGUGGCAUCGAAGACUAGGACAUCUUACUUUUGGUUAUCUUAGAAAAUUACAACCACAUUUUUUUCAGUUAUGAACGAUUUGGAUUUUUAUUGUGAGAUUUGCGAACUGGCUAAGAGCCAUCAUAUUUCUUAUUUACCAAGUCUGAAUAAAAGUUCAGAACCUUUUGUGG